GUUUAAGAACACUCGAUGCAUGCUGAGACAUGAAUUCACAUUUCUACCACUUCGGAAAGUAUCAAUGUCCUACGUGGAAUAUGGACUAGAAAAUACUGAUAAUAUUAAUGGUUUUAUGCAAUAUGGCAGUACAGCAGAUCACUCAAGGCUUGCUGAGACAUGACAUCACAUUCAUACCAUUUGGGAAAGUAUCAUCAUCUUACAUUGAAAAUUAACUGGAAGAUACUGAUAAUUAUAUAGGUUUUAUGCAAUAUGACAGUAUAAAGAACACUCGAUGCAUGCUGAGACAUGAAUUCACAUUUCUACCACUUCGGAAAGUAUCAAUGUCCUACGUGGAAAAUGGACUAGAAAAUACUGAUAAUAUUAAUGGUUUUAUGCAAUAUGGCUGUACAGCAGAUCACUCAAGGCUUGCUGAGACAUGACUUCGCAUUCAUACCACUUGGGAAAGUAUCAUCAUCUUACAUUGAAAAUUAACUGGAAGAUACUGAUAAUUAUAUAGGUUUUAUGCAAUAUGACAGUAUAAAGAACACUCGAUGCAUGCUGAGACAUGAAUUCACAUUUCUACCACUUCGGAAAGUAUCAAUGUCCUACGUGGAAAAUGGACUAGAAAAUACUGAUAAUAUUAAUGGUUUUAUGCAAUAUGGCAGUACAGCUGAUCACUCAAGGCUUGCUGAGACAUGACUUUGCAUUCAUACCACUUGGGAAAGUAUCAUCAUCUUACAUUGAAAAUUAACUGGAAGAUACUGAUAAUUAUAUAGGUUUUAUGCAAUGUACGUUAAAUGAUUAUUGAAUGUAAUUGAUAGUAAAUUAAUAGUAGUGUAACAAUUGAAAAUUUGUUAAAAGUCUGAAUAAAGGUUUGGGAAAAACCAUUAGCUUGUAAUGUUAAUUCAUAAUACUUGCCUUAGCUAUAUAAAUCUUUUAAUAUUAUUUACUACAUUUAUUUCAUUAAUAGGUUUUACUUUA